GUGGGACGUUGUCGGAUUAUUGGGCGUAGAGAGCUCGUAGGCGGUCUACUCGCGUCUGCUGUACAAUCUCGGGGCUCAACCCCGAGCCUGCAGUCGAUACGGGCAGACUAGAGUGCUGUAGGGGAGACUGGAAUUCCUGGUGUAGCGGUGAAAUGCGCGGAUAUCAGGAGGAACAUCGGUGGCGAAGGCGGGUCUCUGGGCAGUAACUGACGCUGAGGAGCGAAAGCGUGGGGAGCGAACAGGAUUAGAUACCCUGGUAGUCCACGCCGUAAACGGUGGGUGCUAGGUGUAGGUCGUAUUCCACGCGAUCUGUGCCGCAGCUAACGCAUUAGGCACCCCGCCUGGGGAGUACGGCCGCAAGGCUAAAACUCAAAGGAAUUGACGGGGGCCCGCACAAGCAUCGGAGCAUGUGGCUUAAUUCGACGCAACGCGAAGAACCUUACCAAGGUUACCUUGACAUGCGUCUCCCGGAGAUGGGAAGUCCGCAAGGGUCCUGCACAGGUGGUGCAUGGUUGUCGUCAGCUCGUGUCGUGAGAUGUUGGGUUAAGUCCCGCAACGAGCGCAACCCUCGUUCUAUGUCGCCAGCGCGUGAUGGCGGGGACUCAUAGGAGACUGCCGGGGCCAACUCGGAGGAAGGUGGGGACGACGUCAAGUCAUCAUGCCCCUUAUGUCUUGGGCUGCACACAUGCUACGAUGGCCGGUACAAAGGGCUGCUAAGCCGCGAGGUGGAGCGAAUCCCAAAAAGCCGGUCUCUGUUCGGAUUGGGGUCUGCAACUCGACCCCAUGAAGUCGGAGUUGCUAGUAAUCGCAGAUCAGCAACGCUGCGGUGAAUACGUUCCCGGGCCUUGUACACACCGCCCGUCACGUCACGAAAGUCGGUAACACCCGAAGCCAGUGGCCCAACUCGUGAGAGAGGGAGCUGUCGAAGGUGGGAUCGGCGAUUGGGACGAAGUCGUAACAAGGUAACCGUAAUAAC
rnacentral:rRNA from 1 species